UCUAGAAUUAAUCUAAAGUGUUACCUGCCCAAUGAUUUUUAAUUUAAUAAAUAUAACCAUUUUUAAAAAAAUUUAAAGGACGCAGUAAUCUGACUGUGAUAAUGUAGCAUAAUCACUCGCCAUUUAAUUGAUGGAUAGUAUGAAUGGUUAAACGAAUUCUUCACUGUCUUAAAUUAAGAAGUCAUGAAAUUAAAAUAAUAGUUAAGAUGCUAUUUAAAAUUGUAAGACGAAAAGACCCUAUAGAGCUUAACUAUAUUUUUCCUUAAACUCAAAAAGAAAAAUGGUAGUUUAGUUGGGGCGACUAUCUUCUAAAUUUAACGAAGACAAACAAAAUUAAUAAAUAAUUUAUUGUAUAAUUAAUAAAUUUAACAAUUACUAAAGUAGGUUAUAAUGACCCGUUAAAAUUAGAUGAUAAAUUUAACGAUCAAUAAAUAAAAGCUACCUUAGGGAUAACAGGAUAAUUUUGUUUUAGAGCUCUUAUCGAAAACAAAGUUUGUCACCUCUAUGUUGAAUUAAGAUAUCCUGGUAAUGCAGAAGUUACCAAAGGUAGGUCUGUUCGACCUUUAAAAU
rnacentral:rRNA from 1 species